rnacentral:rRNA from 1 species
UACGGGGGGGGCAAGCGUUGUUCGGAAUUACUGGGCGUAAAGGGCGCGUAGGCGGCCACCGCAAGUCGGUUGUGAAAUCUCUGGGCUUAACCCAGAAAGGUCAAUCGAUACUGCGGGGCUAGAGUGCAGAAGGGGCAACUGGAAUUCUCGGUGUAGCGGUGAAAUGCGUAGAUAUCGAGAGGAACACCUGCGGCGAAGGCGGGUUGCUGGGCUGACACUGACGCUGACAGCGCGAAAGCUAGGGGAGCGAACGGG